UACGGAGGGUGCGAGCGUUGUCCGGAAUCACUGGGCGUAAAGGGCGCGUAGGCGGCCUGAUAAGUAGGGGGUGAAAUCUUGCGGCUUAACCGCAAGGCUGCCUUCUAAACUGUCAGGCUAGAGCACAGUAGAGGCAGGUGGAAUUCCCGGUGUAGCGGUGGAAUGCGUAGAGAUCGGGAAGAACAUUAGUGGCGAAGGCGGCCUGCUGGGCUGUUGCUGACGCUGAGGCGCGACAGCGUGGGGAGCAAACAGG
rnacentral:rRNA from 1 species